rnacentral:rRNA from 1 species
UACGUAGGGUGCGAGCGUUAAUCGGAAUACUGGGCGUAAAGCGUGCGCAGGCGGCUUUGCAAGACAGAUGUGAAAUCCCCGGGCUUAACCUCGGGAACUGCAUUUGUGACUGCAUGGCUGGAGUGCGGCAGAGGGGGAUGGAAUUCCGCGUGUAGCAGGUGAAAUGCGUAGAUAUGCGGAGGAACACCGAUGGCGAAGGCAGCAUCUCUGGGCCGUGAACUGCGCUAGGAGCGAAAGCUAGGGGAGCGAAACA